rnacentral:rRNA from 1 species
AUUGAACGCUGGCGGCAGGCUUAACACAUGCAAGUCGAGCGGGGUGAUGGCGCUUGCACUAUCACUUAGCGGCGGACGGGUGAGUAAUGCCUAGGAAUCUGCCGAUUAGUGGGGGACAACAUCUCGACAGGGAUGCUAAUACCGCAUACGUCCUACGGGAGAAAGCAGGGGAUCACUUGUGACCUUGCGCUAAUAGAUGAGCCUAAGGCGGAUUAGCAAGUUGGUGGGGUAAGGGCCUACCAAGGCGACGAUCUGUAGCGGGUCUGAGAGGAUGAUCCGCCACACUGGGACUGGGACACGGCCCAGACUCCUACGGGAGGCAGCAGUGGGGAAUAUUGGACAAUGGGGGGAACCCUGAUCCAGCCAUGCCGCGUGUGUGAAGAAGGCCUUAUGGUUGUAAAGCACUUUAAGCGAGGAGGAGGCUCUUUUGGUUAAUACCCAAGAUGAGUGGACGUUACUCGCAGAAUAAGCACCGGCUAACACUGUGCCAGCAGCCGCAGUAA